UCCUAGACUAAUUGGAAUAAAAUAAUAUUAAUAAAGCUCAGUUUGGUAAGGAUCAGUCCGUAAUUAAAGGUUUGAAGGAGCAAAUCCUUAGUGACGUGGCAAGCUCUUUUCUAUGUAUUUCGGUUUUAAAAAAAAAUCAUUCCAGAUCAUGGUUUUGUCGGAGACGAUGAUGGUCAUCCCGUUGCAUGUUCCGUAUGCGUAUUGCUUGAAGUGGUGCUCGGCGGCGCGACGGCCGAGAUGCGAUCCGGUGUUGAUCGAUUCGGUAUCAUCUUCAGGCCUAGCCCUCGCCAAUCGGAUUGUAUGAUUGUCGCAGGGAUGCUUACUAACAAGAUGGCUCCUGCUCUUCCCAAUUUUCAGAAUCUUCUUGAAACAGUUUGUAAAGUAAGGACAGAUCACACAGAAUGAAUAAAGAGAUUCAGAUAAUGCUGACCAAGCUAAAGAAUGAGAUGGAGGCUGCAGGGUACAAGUCCAUUUGUGAGUGAUGUAAUGGUUUUCAACAUGCAGCUACCAGCGUAUUGUCCUGUACAAAAUCUCUAAUUGCUCAUUUUACCUCCCUGUUGCUUGUGCUUUGCUAAUGGCUGGCGAGAAUUUGGAAAACCAUGUUGAUGUCAAGAAUGUUCUCGUUGACAUGGGAAUUUACUUCCAAGUGCAGGUAGAAGAGUUUAGUUGCUAUGCAUUUCAUGAGUGCUAUUUGAUGUCAGGAAGUAAUUCGUUAUCUAUUUGUGUGUGUACUUGUAGGAUGACUAUCUGGAUUGUUAUUGUUCUUGUUCUUUUAUUUGUUCUUGUUCUUUGCCAAA